rnacentral:rRNA from 1 species
CUCGUAGGUGGUUUGUCGCGUUGUUCGUGAAAACCGGGGGCUUAACCCUCGGCGUGCGGGCGAUACGGGCAGACUAGAGUAUGGGAGAGGAUGGUAGAAUUCCAGGUGUAGCGGUGAAAUGCGUAGAGAUCUGGAGGAAUACCGAUGGCGAAGGCAGCCAUCUGGCCUAAUACUGACGCUGAGGUACGAAAGCAUGGGGAGCAAACA